rnacentral:rRNA from 1 species
AAGACAGACUGAAUGAUAGUCGGGCUGAAGACUCUACUUGACUAGCUGAGAGGAGGUGCAUGGCCGUCGUCAGUUCGUACUGUGAAGCAUCCUGUUAAGUCAGGCAACGAGCGAGACCCACGCCAACAGUUGCCAGCUCGUCCUCCGGGAUGUGGGGACACUGUUGGGACCGCUCUGCUAAAGAGGAGGAAGGAAUGGGCAACGGUAGGUCAGCAUGCCCCGAAUUAUCUGGGCUACACGCGGGCUACAAUGGGUGGGACAAUGGGUAUCGACACCGAAAGGUGAAGGCAAUCUCCUAAACCCAUCCGUAGUUCGGAUUGUGGGCUGCAACUCGCCCACAUGAAGCUGGAAUCUGUAGUAAUCGUGUCUCAAAAUGGCACGGUGAAUAUGUCCCUGCUCCUU